GAUGAACGCUGGCGGCGUGCUUAACACAUGCAAGUCGAACGGUGAAGCGGGAGCUUGCUCUUGUGGAUCAGUGGCGAACGGGUGAGUAACACGUGAGCAACCUGCCCCUGACUCUGGGAUAAGCGCUGGAAACGGCGUCUAAUACUGGAUAUGUGAUGUGACCGCAUGGUCUGCAUCUGGAAAGAAUUUCGGUUGGGGAUGGGCUCGCGGCCUAUCAGCUUGUUGGUGAGGUAAUGGCUCACCAAGGCGUCGACGGUUAGCCGGCCUGAGAGGGGGACCGGCCACACUGGGACUGAGACACGGCCCAGACUCCUACGGGAGGCAGCAGUGGGGAAUAUUGCACAAUGGGCGGAAGCCUGAUGCAGCAACGCCGCGUGAGGGAUGACGGCCUUCGGGUUGUAAACCUCUUUUAGCAGGGAAGAAGCGGAAGUGACGGUACCUGCAGAAAAAGCACCGGCUAACUACGUGCCAGCAGCCGCCGUAA
rnacentral:rRNA from 1 species